AUUGAACGCUGGCGGCAUGCUUUACACAUGCAAGUCGAACGGGCUGGGGGCAACUCCACUCAUUGGCAAACGGGUGAGUAAUGCAUCCGAACGUGUCCCGUACUGGGGGAUAACCCAGGCCAAAGCCGGACUAAUACCUCAUAUGCUCUACGGAAGAAAGUGGGGGACCGCUAGGCCUCACGCUAUGGGAGCGGCCGAUGUCCGAUUAGCUUGUUGGUGGGGUAAUGGCCUACCAAGGCCACCAUCGGUAGCUGGUCUGAGAUGAUGAUCAACCACACUGGGACUGAGACACGGCCCAAACUCCUACCGGAUGCAACAGUGGGGAAUUUUGGACAAUGGGGGCCACCCUGAUCCAGCCUUGCCCCGUGCUGGAACAAGGCCUUCGGGUUGUCUACCGCUUUUGGUCUUCAAUAAAAGGCGCCAACUAAUACUUGGCGUUCUUGACUGUACCGGCCCAAAAAACACCGGCUAACUACGUGCCAUCACCCGCGGUAAUACAUAAGGUGCGAGCGUUAAUCUAAAUUACUGCGCGGAAAUCGUGCGCAGGUGGUUCGUUUAGUCAAAUGUGAAAGCCCCGAGGUCAACACGGGAACAGCACCUGAGACUGUCGGGAUGGAGUAUGCACGAGAGGGAUCAAUUCCACGCGUAGCAGGGAAAUGCGUAGAGAUGUGGAGGAGCACCGCUGGCGAAGGCAGCCCCCUGGGCCAACACUGACGCUCAGGCACGCAAGCGUGGGGAGCAUACACGAGUAGAUACCCCGGUAGUCCACGCCCUAUACGAUGUCGAUUGGGUGUCGGGGAAGCGAUUCAUUGGUACCGUAGCUGACGCGUGAAGUUGACCGCCUGGGGAGUACGGCCGCAAGGUUAAACCUCAAAGGAAUUGACGGGGACCCGCACAAGCGGUGGAUGAUGUGGAUUAAUUCGAUGCAACGCGAACAACCUUACCUACCCUUGACAUGUCUGGAAGCCUGGUGAGAGGCGGGUGUGCCCGAAAGGGAACCGGAACACAGGUGCUGCAUGGCUGUCGUCAGCUCGUGUCGUGAGAUGUUGGGUUAAGUCCCGCAACGAGCGCAACCCUUGUCCAUAGUUGCUACGCAAGGGCACUGUAGGGAGACUGCCGGUGACAAACCGGAGGAAGGUGGGGAGGACGUCAAGUCUUCAUGGCCCUUAUGGGUAGGGCUUCACACGUCAUACAAUGGUCGGUACAGAGGGUUGCCAACCCGCGAGGGGGAGCCAAUCCCAGAAAGCCGAUACGUAGUCCG
rnacentral:rRNA from 1 species